UGCAGCUUGAGAUGUGAGAAUGGACA
rnacentral:piRNA from 1 species